UACGGAGGGAGCUAGCGUUGUUCGGAUAUACUGGGCGUAAAGCGCACGUAGGCGGCGCCGUAAGUCAGGGGUGAAAUCCCGGAGCUCAACUCCGGAACUGCCCUUGAAACUGCAGUGCUAGAAUCCUGGAGAGGCGAGUGGAAUUCCGAGUGUAGAGGUGAAAUUCGUAGAUAUUCGGAAGAACACCAGUGGCGAAGGCGGCUCACUGGACUGGUAUUGACGCUGAGGUGCGAAAGCGUGGGGAGCAAACAGG
rnacentral:rRNA from 1 species